CACCUCUCAGGGUCGCACCUGGAGAGUUUCCAGUACUCUACCAGUCUUGGCUAUAGGAGGGAGAGUCAAGCAGAGGCGUACUCACUCCUUUCCUAGCUUGGCUAGUGAGUGGAAGGCAAUCUGCUACAAAU
rnacentral:snoRNA from 1 species